rnacentral:rRNA from 1 species
UACGAAGGGGGGCUAGCGUUGCUCGGAAUCACUGGGCGUAAAGGGUGCGUAGGCGGGUUUUUAAGUCAGGGGUGAAAUCCUGGAGCUCAACUCCAGAACUGCCUUUGAUACUGAAGAUCUUGAGUCCGGGAGAGGUGAGUGGAACUGCGAGUGUAGAGGUGAAAUUCGUAGAUAUUCGCAAGAACACCAGUGGCGAAGGCGGCUCACUGGCCUGGUACUGACGCUGAGGCACGAAAGCGUGGGGAGCAAACAGG